rnacentral:misc_RNA from 1 species
GAGCCAUUUACACAGACAGAUACGUACUACACAUGACACUGGCUAUAUGUUGCCAUGAAGAACGAAAUGACCAAACAAGCCAAUAUUAUUAUAUUUUUUGGAUUUAUGAGAAAUGUAAGUGCUUGUCGUGUGUGAAGCCAAGCAAGAUAUUUAUUUAUUUAUUUUCAAUUGGUUUUUACUGAAACUUAAACUGGGAGCAAGAAUGUUCGAUGAUACGUCUCAUUAAUUGGUAAUAGAUAUUUGUUUUGCAAAAAAAAAAAAA